CAUACAUAUUCACCCAACUUAAACAAUAUGCAAAUAAGUAUAAAAAAAACUACACAAACAAGUAGCAAAACAAUUUUUUUUAAACACUUGAAAUUAUCAGAUUUCAAAACUGAAGUAACAACAACACUUAGUACUCCAUUCCAUCCUCAUCCUCAUCCUCAUCCUCUCCACCAUCAUCAUCAGAGCUAGGAGGCGGAGAACAAGGAAGCUAAAUUAAGGUAUUUACUUGAGCCUUGAAUUCUUGGACAUCUGACUCAAGUGUCGUCCUACGUCGCUCCUCCUCCAUCCUUCUAUUUUGUUCCUCCUCGUACUUCCUAGCAAGCAAAUUCUUGUUGCAUCUCCUCAAGUUGCUUAUCUGGAAUGGUGGCGGAGCCCCCUAUACCUUGCAAUCCACACCGGAGGCGAUGAAAGUUCUUCUCAGAGCAAAGGUCAUACGCCCUUCUCUUAUACACGCCACCAAAUACAUCAUGGUUUGAUUGUCUUGAUAAUCUAUCGGCUGAUUCCUUUUGAUUUCCUCAAUUGCUUAAACAUAUUGAUUCUACAUUAAAAGUAAAUUAGUAUAUGAGAAAUGGUACAUGCUUGACAUAACGUGAAUUGUACGGUUAGUUAUUAGAGAAAGAGAACUGAAUGAUUUCAUUUACAUACCACAUAGUGUCAAGCAUAAAAUAUGCCUAACAUUGGCAAAAGGAAUAGAUCAACUCACAUAUAUAUGUACAGUUCAUGUUCUUACACGUGUAAAGACGACAACAAAACCUUUGAGCUAAGCGUCUGUAAGGGCCAAAACAGCCUAAACAAGAACUUUGCACAUAGGUACAAGUUUGGUAUAACGUGAAUUGUACAGUUAUUUAUAAAUUCAAUAACAUUUAAAAAACUAAAAGUUCUAGGCUCUAGCUAAAAACUGAUACUUGUAACUUCACUCGAACAAACAAAAAAUCCAAGCUCUACGUUAAAUCUGACAAGUUCUCAAAAGAUAUACUUCCUCUGCUGACACAACUAAAUAAUCCAUUUGACUCCUAAUCCCACAUCUUAAGACUCACCAAACACAUAAUUGAAUGCCGUACUUGGAUAUUUAACAAGUCCAAACGAAACCAAAGCAUAAACUUUCACAAACAACAGCAAACUGCAAACCACAAGAUACACUUUUCAAGAAGUUUAAGUUUACUACAUAACUUCCAUACUUCCAAAGAAAGGUUCUCUAUACUCGACACUACUUGCCUAUAUUUUUCUCAAUGAGUGAUGCUACUUGUUUAAGCCAGGGCCGGCUGAACAAUGUAAUGUAAAAGCUAUUGCCUUAGGCCCCCAAAUUUGGGGGGGCCAUUUUCUUGUAAUUAUGAACCAGAUUUAAAAUAAAAAAUAAAAAAAAAUUACUACUUACAUUAUUAUGUAAAAUAAAGGAAUAAGACUUUUUGGAGGAGAAAUAAAAUAUAGCUUAAAAAGGAAAUUUUGAUGGACAAGUGAUUUGAUUCAUCAAUGACAAUACUUUUUACUUUCUUCAUAAAAAAAAAAAAGAAAUGUUGGCCUUUUUGCUUUUUAACUUGACAUUUUUAAAUCUUUUUUCUCAAUUUUCCUAUCUUACUCUCACUCUCUCUAUUCUUAGGGGUCGUUUGGUGUGAGGUACUAAGGUAAAUUAUUUUGGGAUAAAAAAAUAAUUUCGAGAUAAACUUUUUUAUACAUUGUUUGGUUGGCAAUACUUGGGACAACUUAUCCCAGGAUUAAUAAUAAUCCCAGGAUAAGUUAUACCACAUAUUUGGUGGUAUAAGUUAUCCCAAGUUAAUUUAUCCUUGGAUAAAAUUAUAAAUGAUAAAAAUACCCCCAAACCCUUUUCUUUCCACUUUCUCAUAUAUAUAUAUAUAAAACCUUAUAUAAGUGUACGCACCUCGCGCGUGUACCUCACUAUAAUGAAUUUAAACGAUACACUAAAUACGAUAUUUAUUCAAAUAGUAAGAGAAUUUAUUUAAUUAGAUAUAUAGUAGUUGUAAAUAUUAAAGAUACAAAUGAGGUAGGUGUAAAAUAUAUUGACAACCNNNNNNNNNNNNNNNNNNNNNNNNNNNNNNNNNNNNNNNNNNNNNNNNNNNNNNNNNNNNNNNNNNNNNNNNNNNNNNNNNNNNNNNNNNNNNNNNNNNNNNNNNNNNNNNNNNNNNNNNNNNNNNNNNNNNNNNNNNNNNNNNNNNNNNNNNNNNNNNNNNNNNNNNNNNNNNNNNNNNNNNNNNNNNNNNNNNNNAUUUAAGAACAAAAAUAAAUAUAUCUUGUUCCAUAUGUUCAUAUUAGAUAUUAUUGUAUUUUUCUAAAAGAAUUCUCAAUUUCUAGAAGUUCAAAACUUUUUUCUUCAAUAAAGAAAUUAUAUAAAUAUGAUUGAUUUUUACUUUUUUCAUUAAUUAUUUAUCAAUAAUAGAAUAUUUUAAAUUUCAAAUAAACUAAACUAACACAAAUAAGAGUGAUCUUUUUAACCCUUUUUAAUUUUUGAUAGAUUUUUAUUUUCCUUUUAUUUAAUACAAAAUAGAGUUCAUCUUUUUUAAAAAAAAAUAUACGUAGGCCUAAAAAAGAGGGGGAGGGGGAAAUUCGAUUUUAGUUGGGUUUGAAGUCCUAAAAUUAAUUAAAUAUUAUUAGGUAAAUAGUAAAAAGACACUUUUAUCUAAAGAACAAUCUUUUAACGAAGGGCAAAAAGUUCAAAUCACUUUUCUAAGGGUCUUCACACUUUUAAUAUAUUAUAGAUAUAGAUUAUAGAUCAUAAAUUAUAAAUUAUAGAUAUAGAUUAUAUUGCUUAUAGAAUAAUGUUAACAAUUCCUGUAACAGUCGCUUCCGCGGAAAGAAGCUUUUCAAAAUUAAAAAUUAAAAUCUUAUUUAAGAUCAACAAUGUCUCAAGAAAGAUUAAGUGGAUUGGCUAUAUUAUCAAUUGAAAAAGAAUUGUUAAAAGAAAUCGAUUAUAAAAAAAUUAUUAACGACUUUACAUCUCAAAAAACUAGAAAAAUAGAUUUUAAAUAAAAAAUAUAAAUUUUUAAUUUUAAUUUAAGGCCUCCGAUUUUAAUUUGGCAUAACAUUCCCAGUGGACCCCACUAGGGAAGGUAGAGUGUACACAGACCUUACCUUUACCUCGUGGAGGUAGAAAGGUUAUUUCCGAAUGAGAACCUGGAGGAUUACUAAACCAGUGUUACAUGACCGUACACAGUGGAGGGUUUCAGUAUCAGACCUGCAGCUACCCAGGCACCACAAAGAUAGAAUUUACACCCUCCCUGCACUCAAGCUAAACCAUAUGGCUAAAUAUUGAACUCUUGUUCAUUAAUCAUCCUGAUAUAAUCUUAGGAGAACCGCACCCCAAAAGCUGCUAGCUAUUGAGGUGAGAGAGUCCUAGGCUAUCUAAGCCCCACAUCAGUUCCCUAUUUAAUCGAUAUGAGACUGAAGCCCCAUUCCUUGCAAUAAUAUUGUAACACAUCCAAACCAAGAUAAAGUCGUCCCUUUUCUAAUAUUCUACACCGCAUUUGGGAAGACGAAGUCAUAUAAGUCAACUGAAUACAAAUGGAAGGAAGAUCCAUCUGUUGGUUAAGUCUUUCAUUCUCAAGAGUUUUGAGGACAAGGGGGCGCCUAAGAUUACAAAACUCAAUGUUGGACAGCAUCAUAGUUUAGGAGAAAGGUCUCGAGCGUUCAGAACUAUGCAAGAGCAGAUCGUUGUUCCUUGCAACAGUAUAUCAAAAAGCCUAAAACCAUGAAGGGGAAAGGAAGAAGUAUCGACCAUACACUAGCUUUGGGAAGAAAAAAAAACUGAAACAUCUUUUCCCUUUUCCUACUUGAUUCAGGCCUGCACCAAACAUUAAAUAGUAUCCAAGACCAUCAAUUAUUUUAAGAAAAACACAUUUUAAGCAACUGAUUUAGAACAAAAGUCCUUAUAAUCUGUUUUGUCCAGUUUUUGCUAAAUAAGAUACCUAAAUCAAACAAACAAAAUAGUAUUUAGACAGAGAUGGUUUCCAAAUGAACAAAUGAGGGAACGUUUUAAACAAACUAAAAAAAACUGUCCAAUGACAUUUUGAGAGCAACACAUAGAUUAUACAACCAUUUUUUUGCAAAGUUUAAAGGAGUAAAAAUGACUUAAAGUCCCAAAACGCAGCAAUGUAGUAAUGAAAGAAAACUCAUGAUAGACGUCUAUUAGUCGUGAAGAAAUCGUGCAGCCCCCCUUGUAACAAACAAGACAGGACGAAUGAUGAACAAGGCAAGAUGAGACGAUUCAAGUACUCCUCCUAGAACUCAAUCUACAAACAUAACAACAAGGGCACAAAAAGUGAACUGGACAGUAAAAUUUUCAAAGCAGAAUACUGUCCUAUGCUUUCACAAACUUACGUUUUGACGACACAUAAAAAUAAAGCAGCCCCAUAUAUUAAAAGAACAUAAAUUUAAAACGAAACCAUACUCAUAAAGUCGAUUCGCGGAAAAUGAGCAACAAUACCAUAACCACAUUGGAAACUUGUUUUGGGAAGCAAAAUAAUGCACAACCAUAUUUGAAAUGAAUCACAAGUGCAAGAAAGGUGUCAGUUGCUGGUUUUUUUUUAGGAAAAUGCUAAUUUAGGGCUCAAACAAACUAACAAAGUACUAAUCCAACAUAUCUUCUAGCUAAAACUGUGAACUAAGCGAGAUCAUAUCUCUUAAAAUUCUAGUUCUUGGUGGUUCCGACUAGUAUGGACAACUGGUUAUUUCACAGUAAGCAACACACAUCACAUGUUUGCACAAUCUGGACUCAAUGACACCAACUUAUUGGGACAAGUUAAGAUGAGACCAUAAUAAAAAAUACCCAAAAAAAAAUUAUUGAGAAAAUAAGACAAAAGACACGUAAUUAAUCAAUCAGCAAGGUGAAAGGUACCGUUAAUGUGAAAAGAACAGUCUCAGUUAGAAAGGAGAAGUUAUCGAAAUCCAUCCAAAGACCAGCA
rnacentral:lncRNA from 1 species